AUACGUAGGUGGCAAGCGUUGUCCGGAAUUAUUGGGCGUAAAGCGCAUGUAGGCGGUUUGGUAAGUCGGUCGUGAAAAUGCGGUGCUUAACGCCGUAUGGCGAUUGAAACUGCUGAACUUGAGUGCAGGAGAGGAAAGGGGAACUCCCAGUGUAGCGGUGAAAUGCGUAGAUAUUGGGAAGAACACCGGUGGCGAAGGCGCCUUUCUGGACUGUGUCUGACGCUCAGAUGCGAAAGCCAGGGUAGCGAACGGGAUUAGAUACCCCGGUAGUCCUGGCCGUAAACGAUGGGUACUAGGUGUGGGAGGUAUCGACUCCUUCCGUGCCGGAGUUAACGCAAUAAGUACCCCGCCUGGGGAGUACGGCCGCAAGGCUUAAACUCAAAUGAAUUGGCGGGG
rnacentral:rRNA from 1 species